ACAUAUACAUUUUAAAACAUAAAAAUGUCAACAAACAUAAAGCUACUCCAUACAUUAUUAAAGACAAAAACACAAUAAAAGGCGAACAAUAAAUUGAAGUUUUGACAAAACCAUGAAAGAUAACACAAUCAACUCUUAUAGAAAAAUAAAACACACCAAUCGAAACUUUGAAAACGAACUAACUUGCCCCCUCAUCAACCUGAAAAGAAUACCAAAAAGCCAUGGUUAGUCCAAAUCUGCAUUAAAACCAAAAAACAGACAUGAAACAUUGGAAUGCAAAAGUAGAGCAGAAACAAACUAUGGGGCUUUGAGAAUUGUACUCCACUUAAUUGACCUUUUCUCGGAAAAACUUGCCCCAACAUCUUCUUUUGUUUCUCCAAUCUCUAUUAAGGAACACAAAGAAAAAAAACAGACCAUACUAAAGUUACAUUUGUAAGAAACAUAUGGAACACAUUUCAAAAUAAGUCUUAAUUUAUUAGCUUAAUUUCUAAAAUAGGUUAAACUAAUUAGAUGAAUAAAAAAAAGAGAAAAGCUGAUUAAACAUAAAAAUCUAAAAUAGUAAAAUUUGAAAGUUGGUUGCUAUUAAUUGUAAAUAAGUCAAAGUAACUUGUUUAUUUUGGUAAAAUACAUUGACAUAUAGGAAAAUUUUAUUUCCAAAAGAAAAUUAGAAUUUAUAAAUUACCAAACAUGGAAUUGAUAAAAUAGAUUAAAUAGUCUCCACUAAUUGGCAUGAUAUUUGGUUUGAGUUUCAACCAGAGUAAUGACUAAUUUUUUUUACCAAACUUAAGGACCAGAAUGGUGUACGGGCAUCAGAAUGGUGUACAGGCAUCAAUAUAAGAGCUAUGUUGCUUGUUGGAAUAAAAAGGGGGUGUAUAAUUUCUAAUUUCUACAACUAUAACAUCUAUUUGUAGAUAAUAAAAGAAAGUAUUGUUUUGUACUUCCCAUGAACCACCUAUGUUUGAGCACUAAGAUAUAUAAGUAUUGAACCUGCCAUUAGCAGGUUAACUUAAACCCAUGCUAUUUAGUUAUAACUUUUUGGUUGAAUUUUUUGAGCAUUGAAAUUGUCAUACACAUGCACAUAAAAAUCAUUUUUUGUUAUUUUCUCUAUUUGCUAAGAACUACCGUAUGUAUCAUAGUUUAAUCUUCGAAUAUGUAUUUGUUGCUUUUGAAUUUGUUUCUCUUUUCUUCCAUUAUGCCCCACCAGCUUUACCAACCUGUCAAUUAUUCAAAGCACAUUUAAAAAAAAAACUCUAAAAUAACAAAACUUUAAAGUUCUAUAACAAAAAAAAGGAAAAUGGAAUAUCCUACACUGUAGUAACAGAUGUGUUGACAAGGCUAUCUUCUUCAAAUCGUUUCCUAAACUCUUACCAAAUAAUAUGACAUUGCUAUAACCGGAUAAGUAUUUUAAAGUACAUUGCUAGAAUAAGAAAAAUAUGAAAGUUAGAUAAUUUAAUCAACAAAUCAAUAAACAUACAUUACUAUUUCUUGCAUUUCACAGAUUUUCAUUUUAAGAAAACUUUUAAAAAAUAUUGUCUUAUUCAAAUACAUGUAUUUUUUGUUCAAUUUUAGAUGCAAAUACAAUUUAGGAACCAUGUUUUAGGACAAAAUGUAUCCUUCAUGCCUCUCGAUAUUGUACAGGUGCAAAAUCCAAGUUCCGCAACAAAAAAAAAAAGAUAAGUUUAAUAUAUUAGAGCAAAAUAAACAUUGAACAAACCAGUUAGAGCUCGAACAUCUGAUUAUAAAAAAACGAAGCAGUUAGUGCUCGAACUUGUGAUUACUUUGAAACGGAUAUUAGGAAUAAAACUUGUUAGAAGUCGAAGUCGGACCUGUUAGAAAAGCAAUUACCAAACAUGUGUGAUUACUUUGUCUCUAGUAAACAAUGCCAAAAGGAACCACUGACAAACAGGGGAAGGGAAUGAAAAAAGUAUAUUAGGCAAACAAAUGAAACAUCCUUCCCAAUCUUUGGAUCUAGAUACUCAAUAAGUAAAAAAAGAAACAACUUGUUGUUACAUUCAUAACAGAUGAAGAUGCAACUCCUGAAUGGUUCUUAGCAACCUAA
rnacentral:lncRNA from 1 species